rnacentral:rRNA from 1 species
AACGAACGCUGGCGGCGCGCCUAAUACAUGCAAGUCGAGCGAGAAGACGUAGCAAUACGUUUGUAAAGCGGCGAACGGGUGAGGAAUACAUGGGUAACCUACCCUCGAGUGGGGAAUAACUAGCCGAAAGGUUAGCUAAUACCGCGUACGCUCCUUGGACUUCGGUUCAGGGAGGAAAGCGAUACCGUGGGUAUCGCGCUCUUGGAUGGGCUCAUGUCCUAUCAGCUUGUUGGUGAGGUAACGGCUCACCAAGGCUUCGACGGGUAGCUGGUCUGAGAGGACGAUCAGCCACACUGGCACUGCGACACGGGCCAGACUCCUACGGGAGGCAGCAGUAAGGAAUAUUGCGCAAUGGGCGAAAGCCUGACGCAGCGACGCCGCGUGGGGGAUGAAGGUC